GGCCAGCUGACCACGCUUAAUGAGUGCAUUUACAGAUCCAUGGAGCGCUCACGCUACGUCCUGCUGAACGACAUAGAUGAGAUUAUAAUGCCGUACCAACACAACGACCUGAAGGCUCUAAUGAAAACACUCCAAGAGCAGCAUCCAAAGGCUCAGGUGUUCCUCAUAGAGAACCAUACCUUUCCCAAGAAACCCUUUGAGGAAAAUAAAAAAGGUCCGGCUGCCUCGAUGGAGAGGGGUGCCAGGCUUUAAUAUUCUGGAGCACAUCUACAGGGAGGAGCCAAACAGAAACAUAUAUCACCCCCACAAGCUGAUAGUUCAGCCAAGGGCGGUGGAGCAGACCUCAGUGCAUGAGGUGCUCAAGAUGUUUGGAGAAAAGUUCAAGGUUCCACUGGAGGUCUGUCGGAUCAUUCACUCCCCAAUCAGAACCCCGACGCCAGGUCCCGCUAGAGAUGCUCCACAUGGACACCCG